CACCGACACAGUUGACGGCAAAUGAUUCGUCAAUGAUCUUGGCGACAAAACAGAGUUGAGGAGGCUGUAUCAUUGGGCUCUGUGAGCUGAAGGAGAGGACCCUUUACCCAAAAGCUAUCGGCUAUUAGCUACCGCUAGCUGGAUUACUAUCGCCAUGGAGUUGGCUCACAGUCUACUUCUGAACGAGGAAGCCCUAGCCCAGAUCACUGAGGCUAAGAGACCCGUCUUCAUCUUCGAAUGGCUUCGCUUCCUGGACAAGGUUCUAGUGGCAGCAAACAAGGUGGAUGUGAAGGAGAAGCAGAAGAAGUUGGUUGAGCAGCUGACAGGGUUGAUCAGCAGUGCCCCUGGCCCUCCCACCAGGAAACUGCUAGCGAAGAACCUGGCUACCCUCUACAGCAUAGGAGACACUUUCACUGUCUUCCAGACACUGGACAAGUGCAAUGACAUCAUCAAGAGCAAGGAUGACACGCCCACUUACCUCCCCACCAAACUAGCUGCUGUGGCCUGUGUUGGGUCCUUCUAUGAGAAGAUGGGGAGGAUGCUGGGAAGUUCCUUUCCCGACACCAUCUCCAACAUGCUGAAAGCACUGAAGACUGCAGAGUCCCAGGGUCGUAGUGAGAUUCUACUCAGUCUACAGAAGGUGUUGAAUGGUCUUGGUGGAGCAGCAGCCUCUUGCCAUAGAGACAUCUAUAAGAACGCUCGUUCCCUACUCACAGACCGCUCCAUGGCUGUGCGCUGUGCUGUAGCUAAGUGUCUGCUAGAGCUGCAGAAUGAGGCUGUAUUCAUGUGGACCGCCGAGCUGGAGAACGUAGCUACUCUGUGCUUCAAGGCCCUGGAAGGAUCGAACUAUGGAGUGAGGGUAGCCGUAUCCAAACUACUAGGAACCGUCAUGGCCACGGCCCUGAUGCCCAAACAAGCUGCAGUGAUGCGUCAGAACGUGAAACGCGCCACGCUAGACGAGGUGUUGGAGCUGAUGGCUACAGGCUUCCUAAGAGGGGGGUCUGGCUUCCUGAAGAGCGGGGGGGAGAUGCUGAAGGGAGGGGGCUCUGUCAGCAGGGAGGUGCGGGUGGGAGUCACACAGGCAUAUGUUGUAUUCGUGACCACGCUGGGCGGCCAGUGGCUGGAGCGGAACUUUGCCACGUUCCUGUCUCAUGUCCUGGACCUGGUCAGCCACCCGCGGGCCACCCAGACACACGUGGAGGCGGUGUACUCCCGUCGCUGUGUGUCGUUCAUGCUGCGCUCCACUCUGGGGGGGCUGCUAGGGGAGAAGGCCCAGAUCGCUGCGGGGAAAGACAUCUGCCAGGCUAUCAGUAAACAGAUGAGGGCUGUGGGUAAGGAGAUAGAUGGGGGGGAGAUUUCACGGUUCAGAGCUUUACAGACUCUUACCUCUGCUCGGAGGCACAGUUCUGCUGAAGCAGUAGUGAAUGACACCAGUGGAGAGAACAAGGCAGGAGCAGCUGAUGUUUCUGCCAGUCAACACGUGAUGGUCUGUGCCCUCAAAGAGCUGGGCAGCCUGGUGCAGAGUCUUAGUGCCACAUCCUCACCGCUCAUACAGGAACCCUCCAUUGGUCUCCUGGAGACGGUCUCCUCUGUGCUGCUCCACCCCAGCAUGGCGGCCCGUUUGGCGGCGGCCUGGUGUUUACGCUGCGUUGCCGUGGCGCUGCCCUAUCAGCUGACUCCGCUGUUGGAGCGCUGUGCGGAGCGCAUCAACAACCUGAAGAGCUCUCCAGAGGCCGUCAGCGGCUACAGCUUCGCCGUGGCUGCUCUGCUGGGCGGCGUGCACCAGUGUCCUCUGGGAGUACCACAUUCCAAGGGAAAGCUGGUGGUGAGCAUAGCUGAGGACUUGCUCCGUACAGCAGCCCAGAACAGCCGUCUUUCUCUGCAGAGAACCCAGGCUGGAUGGCUGCUGCUGGGGGCACUAAUGUCUCUGGGCCCGUCCCUGGUCCGCUAUCACCUUCCCAAGAUGCUGCUGCUGUGGAGGAACGUGUUCCCCCGUUCCCAGAAAGAGAUGGAGGCAGAGAAGGCUAGAGGAGACAGCUUCACCUGGCAGGUUACGCUGGAGGGACGUGCUGGGGCACUCUGUGCCAUGCGUAGCUUUGUGGCCCAUUGUCCUGAGCUGCUGACGGAGGAUGUGAUCCGCAGGCUGAUGACACCUAUCGAGUGCGCCAUGACCAUGAUGUCACAUGUCCCGUCGGUCAUCAAGGUGCAUGGCACCCAUCUGAAAGCCAGUGCAGCUAUGGUGAGGCUGAGACUCUAUGACAUCUUGGCUCUACUUCCCCCGAAGACAUACGAAGGUAGUUUCAAUGCCCUGCUGAGAGAGCUGGUGGCAGAGUUCACUCUGACUGAUAACUCGGCCAACACCACCACCUCGUUGCUACGCUCCCUCUGUCACUAUGACGACAGUGUUCUGAUGGGGUCCUGGCUACAGGAGACUGACCACAAGUCUAUCGAGGACCAGCUCCAGCCCAACAGUGCGUCAGGCAGUGGCGCUCUAGAACACGACCCCUCCUCCAUCUACCUGAGGGUACCGAUGGGCGAGGCCAUGCCUGGGCCCCUCCCCCUUGGCGUUUCUGUCAUCGACGCCUCCGUCGCUCUGUUCGGAGUGGUGUUCCCUCAUGUCUCCUUUAAACACAGGCUGCAGAUGCUGGACCACUUUGCAGAGUGUAUUAAACAGGCCAAGGGGGUCAGACAGCAGGCUGUCCAGCUCAACAUCUUCACCGCUGUCCUGAGCGCCCUCAAGGGUCUGGCAGAGAACAAGUCCACCCUGGGUCCUGAAGAGGUUCGUAAAUCCGCCCUGGCGCUGGUGAUGGGCGCUCUGGACAACCCAAACCCCAUUCUGCGCUGUGCUGCUGGGGAGGCCUUGGGAAGGAUGGCUCAGGUGGUGGGAGAGGCCACCUUCAUUGCCCGCAUGGCACAGUACAGCUUUGACAAACUGAGGUCAGCCCGUGACGUGGUCUCCAGAACAGGCCACUCCCUGGCUCUGGGCUGUCUGCACAGAUACGUAGGAGGGAUUGGUUCAGGACAGCACCUCAAAACCAGCGUCAGCAUCCUAUUGGCCCUAGCCCAGGAUGGAACCUCCCACGAGGUCCAGACGUGGGCCCUCCACUCCCUGGCUCUCAUCGUAGACUCCAGUGGUCCCAUGUAUCGAGGCUAUGUGGAGCCCACCCUCUCCCUGGUCCUGACCCUGCUCCUAACCGUACCCCCGUCACACACUGAGGUACACCAGUGUCUGGGACGAUGUCUGGGCGCUCUCAUCACCACCGUUGGACCCGAACUACAGGGUAACGGAGCGACCAUCUCGACGAUCCGCUCAUCAUGUCUGGUGGGCUGUGCCAUCAUGCAGGGUCACAGCGACUCCCUGGUGCAGGCAGCGGCCAUAUCCUGUCUCCAGCAGCUACACAUGUUCGCCCCGCGCCACGUUAACCUCUCCAGCCUGGUGCCCUGUCUCUGUGUCCACCUGUGUAGCUCUCACCUGUUGCUGCGCCGUGCAGCGGUGGCCUGUCUGAGACAGCUGGCCCAGAGAGAGGCUGCGGAGGUCUGUGAGUACGCCACGAGUCUGGCCCGCAACAAGGACAGCACGGACUCAACCACCGUCAAUCUGAACAUCACAGAGACUGGUUUGGAGGGGGUUCUGUUUGGAAUGCUGGACCGGGAGACGGACAGGAAGCUUUGUCACGACAUCCAUGACACUCUGGGCCACAUGCUCUCCUCGCUCGCCGUGGACAAGCUCUCUCAUUGGUUGAAGCUCUGCAAGGAUGUCCUGGCUGCUACGACAGGUCACAAGGCUGGAGGAGGGGUUGUGGCACCGGUAGAUCUGGGUAAAGAAGAGGACGACUCGGAGAAGCAGGAUGAGAUCGACGAUGACAUCAUGUUUACGGCGCUGGGAGAGGACAAUAACGCCAAGCCGUCUGUGGCGCCGCGCUGGGUGACCCGUGUGUUCGCCGCAGACUGUCUGUGUCGCAUCAUACUGCUGUGUGAGAACGCAGACAAGACCCACUUUGACCUGGCCGGCGCCCGCUCUGCUAAGGCCAAGAACCCUAAAGGUGAUCUGUUGGUCCUCCACCUCUCUGACCUGAUUCGCAUGGCCUUCAUGGCAGCUACAGACAACAGUAACCAGUUGAGGAUGGCUGGUCUUCAGGCUCUGGAAGACAUUAUUAAGAAGUUUGCCUGUGUUCCGGAGCCAGAGUUCCCAGGUCACGUGAUCCUGGAGCAGUACCAGGCGAACGUUGGAGCUGCUCUUAGACCAGCGUUCUCCCCAGAUACACCUUCUGACAUCACAGCUAAGGCAUGCCAGGUGUGCAGUACGUGGAUCGGUAGUGGUGUGGUCAGUGACCUGAAUGAUCUUCGGCGCGUCCACAAUCUCCUGGUAUCCUCGCUGGACAAGGUGCAGGCUGGGAAGGGUUCCUCUAGUCAGCUGUACAGUGAGAGUGCUACCACCAUGGAGAAAUUGGCCGUACUGAAGGCCUGGGCUGAGGUGUAUGUGGUGGCCAUGAAGAUAAAGAAGGAAGCAGAGUCUCGGCCGGUGAAGGAGGUGAAGGCAGGAGAAGAGGAUGAGGAAGAGGAGGAGGAGGAGGUGGGAGCGGACAUUCUUCCUCCUGACAGCCUAAUUAUGCUGGUGCAGCCUGAACUACCGUCUCUGUCUCGGCUGUGGUUGGCUGUCCUCAGAGACUACGCUCUGCUCACACUGCCUGCUGAGUUCUCCAGCCAGCUGCCCCCUGACGGUGGUGCCUUCUACACCCCAGAGACCAUCGACACAGCCCGUCUCCAUUACCGUGGCUCCUGGGCCCCCGUUCUCCACGCUGUGGCCCUCUGGCUGAGCAGCACCAGCUUUGGGGAGGGGGAAGAAGAGGCCCCUGCUGUCCCUCCACAGGCUUCUGGGGCACCAGUCUACCCACAGGGUAACCCUGGACCUACUCAGAGCCUGGAGGAUCUGAUUAAGGACAGAAUGCAUCUGAUGUUGGGUGUCAGUAUUGAGUUCCUGUGUUUCCCAAGACCUGAGGAACCAAUAGAACAUGUCAUGUCAUGUCUACAGGCUCUCUGUACCCUACUGGACUCUCCCUGUGCCAGGACACACAUCAGUGAAGACCAGUUGUUAGGUGUAGAGCUGCUCAACGUUCUCCACAGACUACUCCUGACCAGAGAUCCUCCAGCCGUUCAGCUCCAAGUGACGGCUGUGGUGCAGGAGACGAUCCGGGCUGCACAGGACCACCUGACACAGCAGAGAGACACACAGGGUAAGGAGGGUGGAGGGGAGAAGGACGGUCUGUCUCUCCGGGGAGAGGGAGGUGAGACUGGGGAGCUGCUCCCGGGGAAGUCCCUAGUCUUCGCUGCCAUGGAGCUUAUGGUGUUCAUCCUGGUUCGUCACUUGCCCCAACUCAACACCAGGGUGAACGAGUCCCCCAGCCACCUGCCCCUCCGACCCCAGCCUCGUCUGCCUGAGGAGAGCACCCGGCUGGUGGCUCACACCGUCUCUAUACUGGCUGAACUGCCGUCGCUAUGCUCCCCCGCAGGCAGCAUGACCAUCCUCCCGACUGUACUCUUCCUGAUAACCGGGGUCCUGAAGGAGACGGCUGUGAAGACACCUGAUAACUCCAUACCCCUGCCAGUCUCAGCUGCUCUACAGGGUAUAAAGACUAUCAUUACCUCUCCUCUGGCCCGGGCUGAGAAGACUCCCACUCAGUGGACAGGACUGAUUAGGAGUAGUCUGGCUUCUGUUCUAGAAUAUUCUCAACCAGAUGAGUCUCGUCCCAACAUGGAUGAGGUCAGUAUGCUGACAGCCAUGACCCUCUUCCUGCUGUCUGCCAGUUCAGAGGUCAUAGGAGUCACUGUGCUGCAGCAGGGUUGUAUGGAACGCUAUAGGAACGCACUCCUCUCCUCUGACCCCUGGGUCCAGGCGCGGUGUUACCAACUCCUCCUGUCCGUGUUCCAGCACCCCAGCCGUGCGUUAUCCACCCCCUACAUCCACGCCCUGGCGCCUCUUAUGGUGGAGAAACUGAAGGGGGUGGAGAGGAGUCGCCCAGGCACGGUCACGGAGCUGCAGGCCGUUCAGGAGGGCAUCAGGGUUCUGGAGAACCUAGUGGGCAUGGCAGAGGAACAGAACCGUAUGUACCGUUGGUAGCAAUGCUGUACACACAGGGUUAAAACGGUCACGGACCUGCAGGGCCGUACAGGAGGGCAUCGGGGUUCUGGAGAACCUAGUGGGCAUGGCAGAGGAACAGAACCGGGUACAGUUGCUGGCUCUGCUCGUCCCCACCCUGGUCUCCUAUCUCCUGGAUGACAAGGCCUUCUCCUCUGCUCCUCCUGCCUCCAAGGGCCUACAUGAGUUUGCUCUCCAGAACCUGAUGCGGAUCGGGCCCCUCUACCCAGCUGCCUUCAAGACAGUGAUUGGAGCCGCACCUGAGCUCAAGACCCGCCUUGAGUCGGCCGUCAGAGCCAAUCAGGCGAGCAGCAAAGCCAAAGCAGCAGCCCUAUUGGCCCAGCCAACUGUGCAGGCCGCGCCCACCAUCAAACUCAAAACUAGUUUCUUCUAAAUAUCCCUGAAAUGCAGAAUACUUUAUCAUCCUGGUGUAAUGUUGUUGUCGUCUGAUACGUCUCUAAGAUGUUCUUUAUUUAACUUGGUUCUCGGUGGAUGAGAUUUUUCUACUUAGUUUUCUUGAAGUCGGCAGGUAGCCUAGUGGUUAGAGUGUAGGGACGGCAGGUAGCCUAG